rnacentral:rRNA from 1 species
CCCAGUAAACGGCGGCCGUAACGAUAACGGUCCUAAGGUAGCGAAAUUCCUUGUCAGGUAAGUUCUGACCCGCAUGAAAGGCGUAAUGAUUUGGGCACUGUCUCAACAGCCCGCCCGGCGAAAUUGUAGUACCGGUGAAGAUGCCGGUUACCCGCGACAAGACGGAAAGACCCCAUGGAGCUUUACUGUAGCCUAAUAUUGGGUUUCGAUGUUGCAUGCACAGGAUAGAUGGGACACUGGGAAACAAUCGCUUUGGCGGUUGCGGAGUGGCCGUUGGGAUACCAUCCUUGCGAUAUUGGAAUUCUAACCUGCGGCUCUGAAUCGAGUCGGGGGACAUUGUUAGGUGGGCAGUUUGACUGGGGCGGUCGCCUCCUAAAGAGUAACGGAGGCGUUCAAAGGUUCGCUCAGCUUGAACGGAAAUCAAGCAAAAGAGUGCAAACGCAGAAGCGAGCCUAACUGCGAGACUGACGGGUCGAGCAGUAACGAAAGUUGGAGUUAGUGAUCCGGUGGUAUGUGAGUGGAAAUGCCAUCGCUCAACGGAUAAAAGUUACCCUGGGGAUAACAGGCUGAUCUCCCCCAAGAGUCCACAUCGACGGGGAGGUUUGGCACCUUGAUGUCGGCUCAUCGCAUCCUGGGGCUGUAUUCGGUCCCAAGGGUUUGGCUGUUCGCCAAUUAAAGCGGUACGCGAGCUGGGUUCAGAACGUCGUGAGACAGUUCGGUCCCUAUCUGUCGUGGGCGCAGGAUAUUUGAUGGGAGCUGUCCCUAGUACGAGAGGACCGGGACGGACGUACCUCUGGCGCACCAGUUGUUCCGCCAGGAGCAUAGCUGGGCAACUACGUACGGAUCGGAUAAACGCUGAAAGCAUCUAAGCGUGAAGCCGACCCAAAGAUAAGAUAUCCCAUUGUUUUAAACAAGUAAGACCCCUUGAAGACUACAAGGUUGAUAGGCACGAUGUGUAAGUGGAGCGAUCCAUUCAGCAAGCGUGUACUAAUAGGUCGAGGGCUUAUCC